rnacentral:lncRNA from 1 species
AAAAAAAGGAGUAGCAUCCUUCCCAAGCCCUGAGCCGUGAGAAGCUCCCUGCCCAGAACUGAACGGACAGCUGCAGUGCAGGGUGGAGGUGCUCAGGUAGCACAACAAAAAAAGUGGAUGACUAGGAGAACAGCCAUUUAUGAGAAAAGUUCUGCCCUGAAUCACACUGACAUUGGAGUUGGCUGAUCAUGCACAGGUAAGUAGACAUUUCCUUCUUCA